UUCGGCGUGGUAUAGAGGAUAAAACACCAGUCCGGUCUACUGAAGAUGCUGGUUCGCCCCCAGCCGCCGAAU